CCGUUCACUUGUAUUAGUUAGUUCACGAUCGUGAGCGUUAAACGCAUAGUAUUGAAUAUAAUCUUCAAUUAAGUCUCAUCAGCAAUCUAACAGCGAAGCGGUCCGUUACAGGCUGCGGGACCACCACCCAUACUGCAGCAAGUUCCUAUAUGCUCGUCGGUCAGCUGGGAUCAACUGCUGCUACAAACCAGCCAGACCCCCCGCAGAGCUUCAGACGAGGCCCAAACGGACACGUGCACUUCCACCAAAAACCCAAGACCGGUUCGUGUUUUAUUUAUGAACGGGGGACGCUUUUGAUGACGGCCAACACGACCAGCAAACGCGCCUCUUCUACGAGUUGUUAAAAAGAACCGGGGAGCACUGUUUGAAUUCGUCCAGAGCCCACAUGAAAGACGCCGCUGAGAUCGACUGCAUCAGUUAAGCAGGCAUCAGAGCUUUCAAAGGAAGUCGGCUGAUAGAUGCGCUGCAGACGCUCAUUACGGCGCUGAAACAAAAGAUGAGCGGCAGAAAAUCCUUCAGAGCGGAGACGAGGCUGGAGGGAGAAUCCUCAUCAAAACGGUGCCCGACGAGCUGCCAUCCGGAGCCUAGCAGACUAAUGGCGCUCCCCUUUGUGAGCGAUCAGCUUUGAUUAGAAAUUCAAAUAGUCGUUUGCUGGUGCCAUCUUCCAAAACUGAAGCUGAUUAAAAACACAUUAUUACCCUCUGCUAUUAUUAGUUUUCUGGUGUCUUGAGGGUAAAGUGCCUCAGAUUCUGUUGGAUUUAAAACAAUUAGAUUCGAGAACAGUUAAAGGUGAAACAUACAAUUCUCUGCAUAUUCUACUGAAAAAAGGAAACCUUUGUAAUGGGAAUAAAUUCUCCCUGUGACUUGUAGGUGACGUGAUGGAUGCUCUGUGGCAUGUGUUGCUAUUUAUAACGC